CCUGCGGAGGGAUCAUUACACAAUUAAAAUAUGAAGGCCCUUCAAACCGGCUGGAUUAUUUUUAUUCACCCUUGUCUUUUGCGCACUUGUUGUUUCCUGGGCGGGUUCGCUCGCCACCAGGACCACAUCAUAAACCUUUUUUGUUAAUGCAAUCAGCGUCAGUAUAACAAAUGUAAAUCAUUUACAACUUUCAACAACGGAUCUCUUGGUUCUGGCAUCGAUGAAGAACGCAGCGAAAUGCGAUACGUAGUGUGAAUUGCAGAAUUCAGUGAAUCAUCGAAUCUUUGAACGCACAUUGCGCCCUUUGGUAUUCCAAAGGGCAUGCCUGUUCGAGCGUCAUUUGUACCCUCAAGCUUUGCUUGGUGUUGGGCGUUGUUUGUCUUUGGUCCGCCCAAAGACUCGCCUUAAAACAAUUGGCAGCCGGCCUACUGGUUUCGCAGCGCAGCACAUUUUUGCGCUUGCAAUCAGCAAAAGAGGUUGGUCAUCCAUCAAGACUACAUUUAUACGUUUGACCUCGGAUCAGGUAGGGAUACCCGCUGAACUUAAGCAUAUCA
rnacentral:rRNA from 1 species